GUCGGGUUGGUGUAGUUGGUUAUCACGUCAGUCUAACAUCAGGAUCGCAUCCUGUGAGAGCACUGAAGGUCGCGCGUUCAAGUCGCGCAUCCGAUA